rnacentral:rRNA from 1 species
AGUGAACGCUGGCGGUAGGCCUGACACAUGCAAGUCGAACGGCAGCACAGUAAGAGCUUGCUCUUACGGGUGGCGAGUGGCGGACGGGUGAGGAAUACAUCGGAAUCUACUUUUUCGUGGGGGAUAACGUAGGGAAACUUACGCUAAUACCGCAUACGACCUACGGGUGAAAGCAGGGAUCUUCGGACCUUUCGCGAUUGAAUGAGCCGAUGUCGGAUUAGCUAGUUGGCGGGGUAAAGGCCCACCAAGGCGACGAUCCGUAGCUGGUCUGAGAGGAUGAUCAGCCACACUGGAACUGAGACACGGUCCAGACUCCUACGGGAGGCAGCAGUGGGGAAUAUUGGACAAUGGGCGCAGGCCUGAUCCAGCCAUACCGCGUGGGUGAAGAAGGCCUUCGGGUUGUAAAGCCCUUUUGUUGGGAAAGAAAAGCAGCAGGUUAAUACCCCGCUGUUCUGACGGUACCCAAAGGAUAAGCACCGGCUAACUUCGUG